rnacentral:lncRNA from 1 species
UCUCAGAAAAACUGUCCGAGAAUUAGGCCGAUCUGUUCACAGCCUGGCUAGGCUUGUUCUAGCUUUUCUGGGCUGCAGGCCUUUUCUAGGGGGCUGGUGGUGUUUGGUGCUGCUCUGUGGAAGUGUAGCCCCUCCAAAGGGCAAGCAGGCCUGUGCAGGGAGAGCCCCUGCGGUGGUAGGCUUCAGGCAAUUGUUGAGGCCAGCCCUCCUGGAUGGCAGGCAGCCCCAGGUUCGGCGAGAGCGUAGGGGGUGGCGGGGGUGGGGGGAGGGAAUGCACUGGGAAGCACAGCUUUCUGCUAGCUAGCGGGCCUGUAAGCUUGCUGUGGCGUGGGGGGUAUUCUAUGGGGACCCACCCCUUCUUCUCUCCCCUCCCCAGCACGGGCGCAGACCAGGCUCUUCUCCCAGGUUCCCUCUGAGGCGGCUUUCCACUUCCCCGCCCCUAGAGUAUUGCUCCCUUCCUCUGCGACAGCUUUGUUUUCUAGUCUCCCAGGCAGUCUCUGCCCCGUCAAAUGGUUUAGAGACCUCCCAAGCAGUUUCCGCUCUUCCCCGCCCCCCUAGCCCGGGGACUAAUCUCUGGAGCCGAGGUCUCGGUGCCCAGCCCCCACCCAGGCGUCCCCCGGCCCCCUCUCGGGGACUAACCUUCAGAGGCGAGGUCUCGGUGCCCAGCCCCCACCCAGGCGUCUCAAUUUUUGGUGACUGUGCCCGUAGUUCAGAUGGUCCAUUGGGUUCUUGAUCGGCUUUUCCGUACUCCAACUUACUGCUACACUCUUCUCUGCAUCUGGAGAUUCCUCUGGUUCGUUUGAUCUUUCGCCCGGUAGGUGACUUUCCAGGGUGCGGGAUCCCUUUCUCCUCCGCAGUUCCCUUUCGGGAGCGCCCGUCCCGCUCGGAUUCACCUUCUCUCACUCUCCUCUUUUCUCCCGUUCUGCCCAAUAAUAUCACGAAUUUCUUGCCGUUAUUGGAGUUUAGGUUCCUCUGCCAGCAAUUGGUUGCUGUUCUGUGCGAGUCAUUUAUUCUGUAGAUGUGCUUUUUUUGUUGUGUUUGUGGGAGAGGGCGAGCGUGUCCUCCUACUCCUCCGCCAUCUUGUCCUCUUCUCCGGUUUUUUUUUUUUUUAAUGGUUUCCUUUGUUGUGCAAAAUCUUGUCAGUUUGAUUAGGUCCCAUUGGUUUGUUUUUGCUUAUAUUUCUGUUGCCUUGGGAGUCUGACCUAAGAAAACAUUUGUAGCAUUGAUAUCAGAGAAUGUUUUGCCUAUGUUCUCUUCUAGGAGUUUGAUGGUGUCUUAUGUUUAAGUCUUUGAGUUUUUUUGUGUGCAUGGUGUGAGGUUGUGUACCAGUUUCACUGAUUUACAUGUAGCUGUCCAGUUUUCCCAGCACCACUUGCUGAAAAGACUCUCUUUUUCCCUUUUUAUAUUCUUGCCUCCUUUGUCAAAGAUUAAUUGACCAG